rnacentral:rRNA from 1 species
AUUGAACGCUGGCGGCAUGCCUUACACAUGCAAGUCGAACGGUAACGGGCCUUCGGGUGCCGACGAGUGGCGAACGGGUGAGUAAUGCAUCGGAACGUACCUUUCAGUGGGGGAUAACGUAGCGAAAGUUACGCUAAUACCGCAUAUUCUGUGAGCAGGAAAGCAGGGGAUCGCAAGACCUUGCGCUGAUUGAGCGGCCGAUGUCAGAUUAGCUAGUUGGUGAGGUAAAGGCUCACCAAGGCGACGAUCUGUAGCGGGUCUGAGAGGAUGAUCCGCCACACUGGAACUGAGACACGGUCCAGACUCCUACGGGAGGCAGCAGUGGGGAAUUUUGGACAAUGGGGGCAACCCUGAUCCAGCCAUGCCGCGUGAGUGAGGAAGGCCUUCGGGUUGUAAAGCUCUUUCGGCCGGGAAGAAAUCGCAUGGGCUAAUACCCUGUGCGGAUGACGGUACCGGCAUAAGAAGCACCGGCUAACUACGUG